rnacentral:rRNA from 1 species
AGCUGAUGCAGCGACGCCGCGUGAGGGAUGGAGGCCUUCGGGUUGUGAACCUCUUUCGCCAGUGAAGCAGGCCUGUCCCUUUUGUGGGUGGGUUGACGGUAGCUGGAUAAGAAGCGCCGGCUAACUACGUGCCAGCAGCCGCGGUAAUACGUAGGGCGCGAGCGUUGUCCGGAAUUAUUGGGCGUAAAGAGCUCGUAGGCGGCUGGUCGCGUCUGUCGUGAAAUCCUCUGGCUUAACUGGGGGCUUGCGGUGGGUACGGGCCGGCUUGAGUGCGGUAGGGGAGACUGGAACUCCUGGUGUAGCGGUGGAAUGCGCAGAUAUCAGGAAGAACACCGGUGGCGAAGGCGGGUCUCUGGGCCGUUACUGACGCUGAGGAGCGAAAGCGUGGGGAGCGAACA